rnacentral:lncRNA from 1 species
CUGCCUGCGUGUGCGUCGUAUCCCAGGCCCCAGCAACAGAAAGAAGUCGAACUCCCCCUUGCGUCUCCUUCCUAAUCGAUUCAGAGAAUUCGAUCCACGCCUACUACAAAAAUCGUAGCCUCUCCUUCACUCCAAAUCGAUAACAGGUUCUUCUCCCCUCUUCUGAUUUCGAUCACCAAUUCGCACAAGCCACACCUUUUUCCUUCUCAAAAUCGAUCACACUACCACAAAUUCGCAGCUUCUCGUUCUUCUCUAGAUCGAUCAAAAUUAUUCUCUCGUUCUCACGAAAUCGAAGUCAGAAAGUGUUGGCUGGUUUUUUUUUUGGGCAGGGAGGCUCGAUGGUGGCUGUUAUUGCUCAGUUGUUGCCUUGAAGAGUGUUAAGGAGGGUUUUUGGUGGUGAUAUAUGGUUGAUUUGGAGGGUGGUGUCGGGCGGUGAUGAAGGUGCGUGAACAGGUGAUGAUGAAGAUGGUAAGGAUGUGUUUUAUGGGUAGAGAAUGGUGGUUGUAUGUGGUUCAAGGUCGAUGGCUGUAAUGGAGGAAUAAGGUGGUUGAUGUUGGCGAUAAAAAGGAGGUAUGUAGGUGGAGGGUUAAGGGGUUCAGGUUGGUUUAAGGUGAAGAUGAUGAAGGGUAGUUUAUGGUGGAGGCUGCUUUUGGAGUGGUAGAAGGGUUGAUGGUGGAAGGUGUUGUGUGUGAUCGAUGGGUUCUCGGUAAUGGAAUGAAGGUUCAAAAGGGACUGGUUAAGGUUUGUUUUUGGUGGAGGUAUAAGGUUAGAAGAUGAUGGUAAUGGGGUGGUGUCGGGUGUUGGAAUGGAAGGUAUUAGGGUGGUGAAAGGUGGUCGCGGUGGUGAGAAUGGAGAAGGAGGGUGAUGGCGAUGGUGACAAGGGGUGAGGGCUUAUGGAGAAAGGUCCCCCGCCCAAGGGAGGUAAAGGAGGAGGUUUUUAAGCAGCCCAUAAAAUCACAAGAUCCGGUCAAUAUCUCUUUCAAUCUUCAUUGUCAUGUUAAAACUUUUAUCUUUUAUCCGUUUUGAUGCAUUUUCUUGUGAUUGCAAAGGUUGUCAACGAAAGGUAUAAGAGAGCUCUUCCAAUUUGAGGUUGACUGUCUUUUACUUGUGAACAAGGCACCGUGUUUUUUUUUACAACUUUGACUUUUGACUUUGUCUAACCAAGUAAUCAAGACAUGCAAUUGGGUAAUUUGUGGGAUUGAAUUAGGCUCACUCAAAUGGACUUGUUCUUCAUUUUAACUCUUGCAAUUUGAUGCUUCCAACACUUGAUGUUAUUUCCUUAUUGGCAUGUAUUAGUUGAAAUGGGUUGUAAAAUAUUUAUCUUUUAAAUUGCAUCUUCAACCAAACCUAAACAUCUCCGAUAUGAAAAACAUUAUUGAUAGAAUUUUGAGCGCGUAUGAAC